CUCCUCUUUCCCCUCCUCCUCUUCCCCCUCAGCCACCGCCUCCUCCUUUCCCAGCACCACUCCCUCCGGGGCACCAGGGUCCCUGCAGAUUCCCCCGCUCGUGCCGCCUCACCACGGGCCCCGGACCCCGAGCCUGCUGCACCCGAGCUGGUGGGAUGCACGGACCAACAGGCGCGCACAAUCCUCUCGACCUGCGCCCUGUCGCUGCGGUCCUGCGCAGCCAGCGACUGUGGAGCCGAGAUCGCCCGGGAGUUCUGUGAGGGAGACAUCUGAGAUGUUAAGGAAUUCACUCCGGGUCACACACACAGCUAAGAAACGUGAAAGCAGGAUUCCAACUCAGGUCCCAGAGGUGCCCUGCCACCACUAUGCAGCAAGCGGGAGGCCAGAUCUGGGCUGUGAUACAGAGAGAGAGUGAGCCCUGUGAGCUGGAGACCUAUCCUGGGGCAUCACAGCAGGAGACCUCCAAGCUGGGCCAAGCCGAAUGGGACUGAGAUCAAAGCCAGCAGGGGUGGCAAGGCAACAAGGAACAUAAGUGCACAGGGCGAAGCUGCUCAUAUCAUGCCUGUGGCUUCGCUGACAGGCUUGGGCCUCUUUGAAGGUCUAGGACAUUCUAGCCCAGACUGCAAGAAAGUGAAACUGCAGAGGAUAAACAGGACUGAAGACAGCAUGCUUAAACUAAGUAUCUUCAACCACAGAAACAGCCAGGAGCAAUGCAGGCAACGCAGAUGCUGAUAGCAGCUUGAGUGACAUUCUGUUUGGGGAGAGGAGCAAGACCUAGCAAUUCCACAGGCUUGUGAUCCACUGCACUGGCUUGGAUCAGCCUCACUGAUGGCUCACGUGGAAAAACACAGCGGAAUGUUCACAAAACAUGUGGAGACUGCUUCUUCUACUUCUGCAAUCAGACCAUGAGAGCUGCUUUGCCUCCCUUUCGCAGCUACCCUAACACUCUCCAGCACCCCUGGCCUUCUCCAAGGCAUGAGGAGACGGCCAGCUCGAAAGUGUGAAUCAAUUUCAGCUGCAAAGAACUUGAGCUCCAAGCGUGAGCGCUGCAGUGGAAUCAAGAUCUCUAGGAUGCCUGCCUGGCCUCGCGUCCUCGAAAGUCCCUGUCUACCAGGCCAGCCAUCCAACCAUUUGGCCACCCAGAGAUGCCCUUCUGACCCUUGGGCUGAGGACUGGGGAUUUUAUCUCUUUCUUGUAGGUCAGCAGUCACUGCCUGUGGCCCUGCACUCAUAGGUCCCUGGAAAGGAAGCUAGGAGAAACCUCCGUGGUCCACCAUCAUGAAGCAACCAAAGCAAUCCCCCAAUUCUGAGACAAUCCCAGAAGUUCAAAGGCCAAACUAGGAAAGGAUCGGGGCGGGCGGGGGGCCUCUGCAGGGAGGCUGCCCGGCCCACCCCCCACACCAGCCUGAGCAGAUUUGCCUGAGCGAGUUAUAAAUCUACUAGUACCAUUUCUUUUUCGUCACUUGCCUAAUCCUGUGCCCUUCGUUUCAUGUGCUGUAAUUAUUAACAUCUGCUUUCUGCGCCUGGCCCGAGUGGAGUUUGCAAAAGCAGUUCUUGGUCCGAACAAUGGUGACAGCUGUUUCAUUUAGCCUAGGGCCAGCACUUCCUGUUCAGUCUACAUCUGCCCUUCUGUGUCCAAUUUCUGUUUCGGAGUUUUGUGUUUUGUUUUCUAUUUUUUUCCCUUCAUCUGACCUUGCUAUAUGUUUAAGAAGAAUUUCUGACUUAGCACUAGAGCUAGUAUUUCUAGCACGUAUGCUUAUUAGAUUGACAACAGCCAGGGGGAGAUGGUAGAAAGCUCAGACUGCCCUCAGGAGCCAACACAGGGAGAGCAGGAGUGGAGAACAGGGCUGCCCAGGAACUCAGGUGCCAGGCGCGGAGGCUUAAGGCUGGGACCUUCCGUGACCUCCUGGGAACCUAGACAUAGGAAAUCUGGGCUCAGCUCCUCUGUCCCCCAGCCUGGGGUCAUCUGCAUGGUUUAUUUGGUAAGGAGUCACCCAGACAUCUGACAAGGGAGCCAGGUGUCCAUGGUGGCCACCAGCACACAGAGGCCUUUCUUCUUUGCAUGCCGAGCAAGAUGGUCAGGUGCAAGGUUCAGAUCAUUUUCCUACGGAGUCACCAGCGAUGUAAUAAAAAUCCCUUCUACCGCUCAGAGGGAGGUCAACAGGAUGCAAAACGGAAAGCAGAAUAAAGGUAUCUGGCUUUGGAUGCUUCAGUGUACAUGCUUGUCUGUGACCAGAGGGGACAGUGACUAUACCCCCUGGCUCCUCCAAUCCAGCCCUCCUGGCCUAGUUGUAGCUAGUACAAGCUUGGGUGCCCCAGUUCAGCUGGUAUACGGAUGCGAAGUUAUUUUCUAAGGGACUCCUCCCUCCCCCCAUGAAGAGCAGGUUAGAGACCUCAACAUUUGUGUAAGGUGCUAUCAGGGAUCACUGGACAUUUAUCACCGAAGAGGAUACAAACUAGUCUUUGGAUGUAAUCGAAUUUGCUGAAGGCAUACAUGUC